rnacentral:rRNA from 1 species
CCUACGGGGUGCAGCAGUGAGGAAUCUUGGGCAAUGGACGCAAGCCUGAAGGAGCCAUGCCGCGUGCAGGAAUACGGCUCUAUGAGUUGUAAACUGCUUUUGUACGAGGGUAAAUGCAGAUAAGCGUAUCUGCAUGAAAGUAUAGUACGAAUACGGAUCGGCUAACUCCGCGCCAGCAGCCGCGGUAAUACGGAGGAUUCAAGCGUUAUCCGAAUUUAUUGGGUUUAAAGUGUGCGUAGGCGGUCGGAUAAGUUAGAGGUGAAAUCCCGAGGCUCAACUUCGGCAUGGAGUCUGAUACUGUUCGACUAGAGAGUAGGUGCGGUAGGCGGAAUGUAUGGUGUAGCGGUGAAAUGCUUAGAGAUCAUACGGAACACUGGUUGCGAAGGCGGCUUACCGAGCUACAUCUGACGUUGAGGCACGAAAGCGUGGGGAGCAAACAGGAUUAGAUACCCUUGUAGUC